CCGACCCGGAAGCAGAGCCGCGCGCCGGAGGCGCCGCGGUGGAGCCGCCGCCCCCUCGCCGCUUCGCUGCUGCUUGGGGAACCCGGAGAGCCGUGCGCCGGAUCGCCCUGAUGGUACCCCGCAGGCGGCGGCGGCGGCAGAGGUGGCGGGAGGAUGACCUCCACCCGGGAGCGGGGUGCCGACCUGGCCCGUUUCUACACUGUCACCGAGCCCCAGCGACACCCGAGGGGCUACACGGUGUAUAAGGUUACCGCCCGGGUUGUUUCACGAAGAAAUCCAGAAGAUGUCCAGGAGAUUAUCGUGUGGAAGAGAUACAGUGACUUUAAGAAACUACACAAAGAACUAUGGCAAAUUCACAAAAACUUAUUCCGACAUUCAGAAUUGUUUCCUCCAUUUGCUAAAGGAAUAGUGUUCGGACGAUUUGAUGAAACUGUUAUUGAAGAGAGGAGACAGUGUGCUGAAGAUCUGCUACAGUUCUCUGCCAAUAUUCCCGCUCUUUACAACAGUAAACAGCUCGAAGAUUUUUUCAAGGGUGGAAUAAUUAAUGAUGGCUCUGAAUUGAUUGGUCCUGUUGAAGCUUAUGCGGAUUCCUUCACUGAUAGCUUUCCUGAGUGUAGUACAGAAGGCUUCUCCAGUGACAGCGAUCUGAUAUCUCUUACUGUUGACGUGGAAUCCCUUGCUGAGUUAGAUGAUGGAAUGGCUUCCAAUCAGAAUUCUCCCAGUAGAACUUUUGGUCUCAAUCUUUCUUCGGAUCCUUCAGCACUAGGGGCUGUUGCUUCUGACAGUGAGCAGAACAAAGCGGAAGAACGGGAAAAUCGUAGCCUCUUUCCUGGCAGUUUAAAAUCCAAGCUUGGCAAGAGAGAUUAUUUGGAGAAAGCAGGCGAAUUAAUAAAGCUGGCUUUAAAAAAGGAAGAAGAAGACGACUAUGAAGCUGCUUCUGUUUUUUAUAGGAAGGGAGUUGAUUUACUCCUAGAAGGUGUUCAAGGAGAGUCCAGCCCUACCCGGCGAGAAGCGGUGAAGAGAAGAACUGCCGAAUAUCUCAUGCGAGCAGAGAGCCUGUGUAGCUUCUAUAGAAAACCUCAGUUAGAUGAUGUAUCUCAGCCUCCAGGAUCACUAAGUUCAAGGCCCCCUUGGAACCUAAGGAGCCCUGCCGAGGAGCUGAAGGCCUUCAGAGUCCUUGGGGUGAUUGACAAGGUUUUACUUGUAAUGGACACAAGGACAGAACAGACAUUCAUUUUAAAAGGUCUAAGGAAAAGCAGUGAAUACAGCGGGAACAGAAAGACCAUCAUCCCCCGCUGUGUGCCCAACAUGGUGUGUCUGCACAAGUACAUCAUUUCUGAGGAGUCGGUAUUUCUUGUGCUGCAGCACGUGGAAGGUGGCAAACUCUGGUCCUAUAUCGGUAAAUUUCUAAGCAGAAGUCCUGAAGAAAGCUUUGACAUUAAGGAAGUGAAAAAAUCUACACUUGCUAAAGUUCACCUACAGCAGCCAACUUCUAGUCCUCAGGACAGCAGCAGCUUUGAAUCCAGAGGAAGUGAUGGCGGAAGCUUGCUUAAAGUUCUGCCUUUGAAGACUAGCCUUACUCAAAGCUCUCAAGAUGAUAGCAUCCAAGACGAUGAUGGCCAGGACAGCUCUCCAAAAUGGCCAGAUUCCGGCUCCAGCUCAGAAGAAGAAUGUACUACUAGUUAUUUAACAUUAUGCAAUGAAUACGGUCAAGAAAAGAUUGAACCAGGGUCACUGAAUGAGGAGCCUUUCCUGAAGCCCGAAAAGAAUGAUGUUACCACCAAAGCUGUUGAAAGCAUCCCAGCACACCCUGCUGCCGACAGUGACAGCUCCAGCACACAGCUGUUAGCUCCUGAGCUGAAGCUCUUUCCUGGAAACGAUGACCUGGAAGCAGCUAGUCCUCCAAGAACAUCUGACUCCCUCAGUAGAUCGAAAAACAGCCCCAUGGAAUUCUUUAGGAUAGACAGUAAGGAUAGCACUAGUGAAAUCCUAGGACUCGAUUUUGGAGAAAAAAUAUAUAGCCUAAAGUCAGAGCCUUUGAAACCAUUUUUUACUCUCUCAGAUGGAGACAGCACUUCCAGGGGUUUUAAUGUCUGUGAAAGCAAAGUUAUCGCUCAGGACACCAUUAGUAGGGGCUCAGAUGACUCUGUCCCAGUCAUUUCUUUUAAGGAUGCUGCUUUUGAUGAUGUCAGUGCUACCGAUGAAGGAAGGCCUGAUCUUCUUGUAAAUCUACCUGGUGAAUUGGAGCCAACGAAAGAUGGUGCAGCAAUGGGACCCACUAAGUUUACACAGACUAAUGUAGGCAUAAUAGAAAGUAAACUACUGGAGGCCCCCGAUGUUUUAUGCCUCAGGCUUAGUACUGAGCAGUGCCAAACUCUAGAAGCAAAAGGCCCAGACGAAUUGGGGGAUCCCUCUAGACUUCAAUCCCAUGCUAUAACAGAGAAACACUUUGUACAGGGGGGUCUUGGGAUGUUAUUUGCAGCAGCUGUUGAUCAUAGUAGCUCAGGACACUUGUCUUUGUUACACAGCUCAGAUCCUAACUUUCAAGGACUUGGAGCAGUUGAGUCGGCAGUUACUGCAAACAAUACAGACGAAAGCUUCUUUCCUAUUUCUGACCCACUCUCAGGUGCUAAUGAACGUAACGCCAACACAGACGCUUUAAAAACUGAAGAAGUAUUGCUCUUUACAGAUCAUACUGAUGAGUUGGCUGAAGAGGAACCUGCUUUAUUUCAGAGAGACUCGGUGACUAAGGCAGAGAGUGGGUUAGCACUAGAAGGAGACCAGGAAAUACAUCAGAUUUUUGAGGACCUUGAUAAAAAAUUAGCACUAAACUCCAGGUUUUACAUCCCAGAGGGCUGCAUUCAAAGAUGGGCAGCUGAAAUGGUGGUAGCCCUUGAUGCUUUGCACAGAGAGGGGAUUGUGUGCCGCGAUUUGAACCCAAACAACAUCUUAUUGAAUGAUAGAGGACACAUUCAGCUAACGUAUUUUAGCAGGUGGAGUGAGGUUGAAGAUUCCUGUGACAGCGAUGCCAUAGAGAGAAUGUACUGUGCCCCAGAGGUUGGAGCAAUCACUGAAGAAACCGAAGCCUGUGAUUGGUGGAGCUUGGGUGCUGUCCUCUUUGAACUUCUCACUGGCAAGACUCUGGUUGAGUGCCAUCCAGCAGGAAUAAAUACUCACACUACCCUGAACAUGCCAGAAUGUGUCUCUGAAGAGGCUCGCUCACUCAUUCAGCAGCUCUUGCAGUUCAACCCUGUGGAGCGUCUUGGUGCUGGAGUUGCUGGUGUUGAAGAUAUCAAAUCUCAUCCGUUUUUUACGCCUGUGGACUGGGCAGAACUGAUGAGAUGAACAGAAGGCAGGGCGAUCUGCACACAUUCUGACCUUCUCUGGGACGGGCGUCUCCAGCACAGAGGGCUCUGCCUCCCAGUCACUUGUGGAGGGAGCGCCAGAGCCCAGGGAUAACGACCUUUAGAGGAAAUAGGGGGUGAAAAAGGCCGACAAUUCUUUACAAAUAGUGUUCGGGCAAGACACUGGCUACAUUUGCAAGGGGCUGUGAUGUACAAACCUUUAACCAAGGUGUGAUGUUUAUUUUACCUGCAUUUAAUGUCACAGAUGAGUUGUGAACUCACCUGAAAGAGGAAUGCCCUUCAAGAACUUCUGAUAUGAAACUCCAAGUGUAAAAUUAAGUGGUACUCAAAAGGAGGACCUUUACAUGGCAGCUAACCAUGCUUUCUGCUAACCAAGAUUGGUGUAUAUGAUCAAAUUAAUAUUUGCUGAAUAAUAUACUACAAAUGCUUCAUGAAUAAUGUGAUCUAUGGAUCUUAAAAAAGCGAGAAAAGAAAGAAAACACACGUCACGCCUGACAGGAAACACGUACCAUGAUGCCAUAUAAUUAAUGUACGUUGACUGUGGUCCCAAAUCGUUUCAGACUUUCAGAAGCCCACAUGAGACGAGAACUUCACGAUGCCUCCUUUCUACUUGCUGAGCCAUCCUGCCACCUGUUGUCGACUUCAUUUUAGGUUUUGGCAUGCUAAGAACCAAAGGAGCUCAUCUAAAUGGAAUUGAAUGGCAAUCCUCUAUUAUUACCUAUAAAGAUGGGAUUUCCAGAUUUGACCUCCUCACCUACUUGACAAUGUAUACAGAAAGAAUAUGACUAUUUACACAUCUUGUUGUAUUUAUUUCUUUGUGUUGCUAAGAUAGCUCCUGUAAUCAUGCAUUGUUUACAACAGUUUACAAUUAUGUUAAGUGUUCAUGGCUGUAUUUUUAACCUUAUCCAAAGAAGAAAUAAUUCACUCUUUCCAAGUUAGAUGCCACCAGAAAUAGUGAAAAGCUUCUGUAUGUUUUCAUCCUUUGUAUUUUUGAGAUAAGUGUGAGAGCCCGUCCUUACUCCAAGAGCAUCUGUACAGCUCCCAUCUGCCGUCAGCCAGGUCCUCCCUGUCCAAUUCAAUGGAAGCAGAAAAUGCGUUAGGAAACAAAGGAAAUGUGCAAGCAUUUUUCCUUUUUCUCUUAUCCUACUCCCCCUUUUUCCUUUUCGGUCCCCUUAUAACCUGAACCCCAGCUGAAGGGCUGCGACAACACCAGGAUGGGGAGCAGGUCACCAGGUUCAUAGCUCAGUCAAGAUGACCUCACUCCCUGGAACUGGAUUUCAACUCACCAGCCCCCUGGCCUCAUAACAGGAACUCAUGCAGGUGAGACACAAGAAUGACUUCCUGCAUAGGACUGGUAGGAAGUCUGCAAGUACUUAGAGCUGGCCAUUACAGAGCUUCCUUCCAGAAGUGCCCUGUGACACGAAAGUAGGAUUCACAGCUAAGGUGGAGCUCCCAGCCCUACCACAUGAUUCUGGUCCCAUGGAUUCAGAGGACAGCAGUGUCAACAGAUGGUUGCUGUGUCAGUGUGUUGACACAAUUCCAUUGCUUCGAUUUCUCUCUUUCUGUAUGUUUGAUUGGAACUUGUGCUUAAUGUAAAUGCUCCAUUCAUAACCAUGGUGGACAUGAAUUAUUUUAGUAAUAAAUACACAGGACAAAUGGC